AAUGGUGGCCCCACAGCGUGUGGGCCACAAGGGGCCUCGAUGGUGGACAUUGUUAUCCCCACUGCUUGCUGUAAUGUGGUCCGCAUGAGCUUUGAAUAUGCUUUAGUUUUGGGCUUGGUCCCAUUCUCUAAAAUGAGCUGUUCAAAAUUGAUGGACGGUGUAACACACAUGCAUCAUGGUGGGCCCCACAAUCCAAAUGGGCUAUCAAAGCUGAUCAGUAACAAGGAUAAGACACAUGCAUUAAGGUGGCUGAAUCCAAUAGUGGUCCACAAAGUGGAUGGUUGUGCGUUGUCCACAUAGCCUAUACCUCACGGUGGGCCUUGUAAGGUUUUAACGAUGGGCCCCACUGCAUGUGGGCUGAGGAAAGUUCCAAUGGUGGACCCCACUACAUGUGGACCCCAAGGAGGCCUUGACGGUGGACAUCAUUAUUCUCUAUGCUUGUUGUAGUGUGAUCCACAUGAGCUUUGAAUAUGCUUUAGUUUUGGGCUUGAUCCCAUGCUCUAAAAUGAGCUGUCCAAAAUUGAUGGAUGGUGUGAGUAAGCCACAUGCAUCAUGGUGGGCCCCAUAGCCCAAAAUCGGCCAUCAAAGCUGAUGGGUAACAAGGAUAAAAUACAUACAUUUGGGUGGCCCAAUCCAAUGGCAGUCCACCAAGUGGAUGGAUGACCGAAUAAUCUCGUACAUCAUAUGGGCCGAUCCAAGUGGUGAUCCACCUAAAAUGGAAAAUGGGAAAUUUUAGCCAGAGAUUCUCACUUUUGUAGAGUCAUCAUUAGAUAGCAUUCAUGCCAUGUUGAGGGCAUACUUGGAGAGAGGAGCCUUAAUGGCUUUCAUGCAUUGAUAUAAGGGAUGAGGUGGGGAUAUAUGCAUUGGUUGUUGAUGAGGUGGAGGGGGGAGAGAAUAAGUGAAGAGUGUAGAGGGAUAUAUAAGGUUUGGAUGAAGUAAGAUAAAUGGAUAGUGUAGGAACAUGGAUAGGGCUCUUGGACUUUAGUGGUCUAUGGGUUUGACCCAGUCAAAGGCUCACCCAUAAAACGAUGAUGUGUAAAUUGGUGCUCAUAAUGGUCGGUGGUGUGGAAAGUAAGGUCAACACUUCCUUAGGUUGGUCAACAUUUCAUAAAAAGGCCUUUGUGUUUGAGAGUAUAUGGAGUGUUUUUGAGCUGCCCCAUUGAGUGAUGAGUGCGAUCACAAGUGUCCAAGAGGGGUGUGGGGCAUGCGCAGAAUAAUUCUUAUAUAUUCAGGGAAAAAUAAAAAUCAUUCUAUUAAAGAAGGGGUUUUCAACUGCCAAAUAGAUGUCCUACGUACCAUGUAAGCAAGGAAAAUGUGGAACAUUUUUUCUUUCAGACCUCUUUGGCUUAUAGUUUGUGAGUUAUGCUGCCCAAGAUUGGGGUAUCUUGGGUGCAACCUUGGAGCACUGGGGUGAAGCUCUGAUGGCGUGGUGUAUUCUACACUGCACUUGUGAAUGGAGUAGCAAAAUAUAGGCUUUCUUUGGGGUCGAAAUUGGUGUGGAGAUUGGAUGACUGCAAGGGGCUUGCUCUAGCUGGGCUGGAAUCCUAUCAUCAGGCUGGGGAACUCCAUCCUUUAUAUAUAAGACGCUGAAUUAACUCACCAUUUGAUUACUUGUGUACAUUAUCACUCAUGCCUGAAUUUUUGAAUUUUGAUCUUAUUUAUAUACAACAUACCGACAAUGGACGUGCAUUUUCAGCUGUUUUCCGCUUUCAUUCUUCUAUAUUUUGGCUUUUUUGUUUCUUUGACCAUGUUUUUUACCGUAUUUUUAAUGAUUGAAACCAAAUUAAUUGUGUACAUUUUGUGCCAUUGUUUACCGUUUGUGAUUUGCAAGAGUUGAUUAUUGCUGAAUCCAGAGUCUGUGUGGUCAGAGGUUUUUUUUUUUUCAAGUCAAGUCCAGAUUGUUAUGAUCAGGGUACGUCAUAUUGUGCUUUUCUUUAUUAUUUUUUUCAUUUACUGCUCAGCCCGCCCACCUAGCUUCCAUGCGAGAGAAGGCUGCAUACAUCAAUCCAUGUGAACCAGUUGCUUUUGAUCCCAUGUCUUGUGGGUCCAUUGGCAUGUUCAAUCUGUUGCUUUUUCGUUUUCUAUUUUUUAAGCUAGGUGGUAAUAUUUAGUGCAUGAACAUUCUUCAUGGGAUAGCAGUAUGUAAUUCAACUCUAUGCUUAGCUUCAUGGACGAUUUUUUGACCCCUAAGUGAAUUAUGACAUGUGUUCAUGGGUUUAAAAAUCUAUUUUGGCUCAAUUGUAUUGUAUGCCAUGUUCUAAUAUAGAAUAUUGUUGUUGCUCAUGGAUGAUACCGGUACAUAUCGGCCAAUACUAUGCCACAGGCCUGCUCUAUGACUCCUUUUUUGUUUGCAAUCAGGGGUCUAGUGUUGGCACAAGAAUGUGAUUCCAAAUAAGGGAUGACCCAGCGAUGGAAAAGAAGAUUUAGGCACCCUCCUCUGCAGUACAGAAGUGUGGUCUCUACUCAGUGGGAUACAUGAGAUUUUUGGAGGAUUAAAAAGCUCUAUCAAUGUUCAGUGCUUGUGAUA